rnacentral:rRNA from 1 species
UACGUAGGUGGCAAGCGUUGUCCGGAAUUAUUGGGCGUAAAGCGCGCGCAGGCGGUUAUGUAAGUCUGAUGUUAAAGCCCGGGGCUCAACCCCGGUUCGCAUUGGAAACUGCGUAACUUGAGUGCAGAAGAGGAAAGCGGUAUUCCACGUGUAGCGGUGAAAUGCGUAGAGAUGUGGAGGAACACCAGUGGCGAAGGCGGCUUUCUGGUCUGUAACUGACGCUGAGGCGCGAAAGCGUGGGGAGCAAACAGG